CGGGGUGUAGCGCAGCCUGGUAGCGUACUCGUCUGGGGGGCGAGGGGUCGCAAGUUCAAAUCUUGUCACCCCGACAA
rnacentral:tRNA from 1 species